UACGGAGGGUGCAAGCGUUAUCCGGAUUCACUGGGUUUAAAGGGCGCGUAGGCUGUGCUGUAAGUCAGGCGUGAAAGCCCCGGGCUCAACCUGGGAAUUGCGCUUGAUACUGCGGCGCUGGAAGGUGGGAGAGGAUGGCGGAAUUCCCAGUGUAGAGGUGAAAUUCGUAGAUAUUGGGAAGAACACCGGUGGCGAAGGCGGCCAUCUGGCCCAUUUUUGACGCUGAGGCGCGAAAGCGUGGGGAGCAAACAGG
rnacentral:rRNA from 1 species